AAGACCUUUCUCAGCACUCAGACUGCCGACAUUCCAGAAAAUUCAACAUCACUCUGAAGGGGCGCGAAGGGCCCCUGGGGAACUCUGCGGAGGGACUUCAAUCACGUAGAGCCAAGUCUCCUUGGAAAGACAAAGAAAAGGCUCUGGAUUGACAAAUAGUGGGGUAACAGAAAGGAACUGGCCACUGUCAGAACCAUCUGCAGUUACAUUCAGAACAAGAUCAAGGAUGUUACACUGGGCUUCAAGAUGAGGUCUGUGUAUGCUCCCUUCCCCAUCAACAGUGUUGUUCAGGAAAAUGGGUCUUUAGUUGAAAUUUGAAUUUCUUGGGUGGAAAAUCCAUCCGCAGGGUUCAGAUGAGGCCAGGUGCUGCUUGCUCUGUCUCCCAAGCCCAGAAGGAUGAGUUAAUCCUUGAAGGAAAUGAUGUUGAACUUGUUUCAAAUUCAGUCGCUCUGAUUCAGCAAGCCACAACAGUUAAAAACAAGGAUCUCAGAAAGUUUUUGGACGACAUCUAUGUGUCUGGGAAGGGAACAGUGCAGCAG
rnacentral:lncRNA from 1 species